AUGUCGUUGGCUGCCAGGAACAGUUCCCUUCAUCCUUCAAGACUCCUUCAAGAUUUAGAAGCCGACAUUUCCACUUUGGCAACUGCGAAGGUGCCCUGCUGCUCCGGUACCCUCAUCCUAAUUUCACCCCCAUGCUCCAAUUGGAAGGAUGGUAUCUUUGUGGGGAUCAACCGGGGAAUGCCUCUAAGAGGUGAGAUUUUAGGAGGACUUUG
rnacentral:lncRNA from 1 species